CCUACGGGAGGCUGCAGUAGGGAAUUUUCGGCAAUGGGGGGAACCCUGACCGAGCAACGCCGCGUGAACGAAGAAGUCUUUCGGUAUGUAAAGUUCUUUUAUUGGAGGAGAAAGAGACAUUUGACGGUAACCCCUGCAUAAGCCCCGGCUAACUACGUGCCAUCAGCCGCUGUAAUACGGAGGGAGCGAGCGUUAUCCGGGAUUGUUGGGCGUAAAGGGUGCGUAGAUGGGAGAUAUAAGUCUGUUGUAAAAAUGCUAGGCUCAACCUAGUGGGGCAAAAGAUACGGAUGAACUAGAGUACGGAAGAGGCAAGUGGAACUACAUGUGUAGCGGUAAAAUGCGUAAAUAUAUGGAAGAACACCGGUGGCGAAGGCGGCUUGCUGGGGCGGGACUGACGCUGAGGCACGAAAGCGUGGGGAGCAAACAGGAUUAGAUACCCUUGUAGUC
rnacentral:rRNA from 1 species